GAAUGAACGCUGGCGGCAUGCCUAACACAUGCAAGUCGAACGAAGGCUUCGGCCUUAGUGGCGCACGGGUGCGUAACGCGUGGGAAUCUGCCCCUUGGUUCGGAAUAACAGUUAGAAAUGACUGCUAAUACCGGAUGAUGACGUAAGUCCAAAGAUUUAUCGCCGAGGGAUGAGCCCGCGUAGGAUUAGCUAGUUGGUGUGGUAAGAGCGCACCAAGGCGACGAUCCUUAGCUGGUCUGAGAGGAUGAUCAGCCACACUGGGACUGAGACACGGCCCAGACUCCUACGGGAGGCAGCAGUGGGGAAUAUUGGACAAUGGGCGAAAGCCUGAUCCAGCAAUGCCGCGUGAGUGAUGAAGGCCUUAGGGUUGUAAAGCUCUUUUACCCGGGAUGAUAAUGACAGUACCGGGAGAAUAAGCUCCGGCUAACUCCGUG
rnacentral:rRNA from 1 species